UACGGAGGAUGCAAGUGUUAUCCGGAAUCACUGGGCGUAAAGCGUCUGCAGGUGGUUUAAUAAGUCAAAUGUUAAAUCUAGAAGCUUAACUUCUAAACCGCAUUUGAAACUAUUAAACUAGAGUUUAGUAGAGGUAAAGGGAAUUUCCAGUGGAGCGGUGAAAUGCGUAGAGAUUGGAAGGAACAUCGAUGGCGAAAGCACUUUACUUGGCUAACACUAACACUCAGAGACGAAAGCUAGGGGAGCGAAUGGG
rnacentral:rRNA from 1 species